GACGAACGCUGGCGACGUGCUUAACACAUGCAAGUCGAACGGAAAGGCCCUGCUUUUGUGGGGUGCUCGAGUGGCGAACGGGUGAGUAACGCGUAGGUAACCUGCCUGGUAGCGGGGGAUAACUAUUGGAAACGAUAGCUAAUACCGCAUAAUAUUAAUUAUUGCAUGAUAAUUAAUUGAAAGGUGCAAUUGCACCACUACCAGAUGGACCUGCGUUGUAUUAGCUAGUAGGUGAGGUAACGGCUCACCUAGGCGACGAUACAUAGCCGACCUGAGAGGGUGAUCGGCCACACUGGGACUGAGACACGGCCCAGACUCCUACGGGAGGCAGCAGUAGGGAAUCUUCGGCAAUGGACGAAAGUCUGACCGAGCAACGCCGCGUGAGUGAAGAAGGUUUUCGGAUCGUAAAGCUCUGUUGUAAGAGAAGAACGGGUGUGAGAGUGGAAAGUUCACACUGUGACGGUAUCUUACCAGAAAGGGACGGCUAACUACGUGCCAGCAGCCGCGGUAAUACGUAGGUCCCGAGCGUUGUCCGGAUUUAUUGGGCGUAAAGCGAGCGCAGGCGGUUAGAUAAGUCUGAAGUUAAAGGCUGUGGCUUAACCAUAGUACGCUUUGGAAACUGUUUAACUUGAGUGCAGAAGGGGAGAGUGGAAUUCCGGGUGGAGCGGUGGAAUGCGCAGAUAUCAGGAGGAACACCAGUGGCGAAGGCGGUUCUCUGGGCCUUUCCUGACGCUGAGGAGCGAAAGCGUGGGGAGCGAACAGGCUUAGAUACCCUGGUAGUCCACGCUGUAAACGGUGGGUACUAGGUGUGGGGUCCAUUCCACGGGUUCCGUGCCGUAGCUAACGCUUUAAGUACCCCGCCUGGGGAGUACGGCCGCAAGGCUAAAACUCAAAGGAAUUGACGGGGCCCCGCACAAGCGGCGGAGCAUGCGGAUUAAUUCGAUGCAACGCGUAGAACCUUACCUGGGUUUGACAUGGAUCGGGAGUGCUCAGAGAUGGGUGUGCCUCUUUUGGGGUCGGUUCACAGGUGGUGCAUGGCUGUCGUCAGCUCGUGUCGUGAGAUGUUGGGUUAAGUCCCGCAACGAGCGCAACCCUUGUUCACUGUUGCCAGCACGUUAUGGUGGGGACUCAGUGGAGACCGCCGGGGUCAACUCGGAGGAAGGUGGGGAUGACGUCAAGUCAUCAUGCCCCUUAUGUCCAGGGCUUCACGCAUGCUACAAUGGCUGGUACAGAGAGUGGCGAGCCUGUGAGGGUGAGCGAAUCUCGGAAAGCCGGUCUCAGUUCGGAUUGGGGUCUGCAACUCGACCUCAUGAAGUCGGAGUCGCUAGUAAUCGCAGAUCAGCAACGCUGCGGUGAAUACGUUCCCGGGGCU
rnacentral:rRNA from 1 species